rnacentral:rRNA from 1 species
UACGAAGGGGGCUAGCGUUGCUCGGAAUUACUGGGCGUAAAGGGCUCGUAGGUGGUCAACUAAGUCGGACGUGAAAUCCCUCGGCUUAACCGGGGAACUGCGUCCGAUACUGGAUGACUUGAGUUCGGGAGAGGGAUGCGGAAUUCCAGGUGUAGCGGUGAAAUGCGUAGAUAUCUGGAGGAACACCGGUGGCGAAGGCGGCAUCCUGGACCGACACUGACGCUGAGGAGCGAAAGCCAGGGGAGCAAAGCGGG